AUCUCAUUUUGUGCAACUUUUUGGGUGGGUUUUGUCUCCUAACCUCCCUAUUUUGUCUUAUAGGAGCUUGAGAAUUUUGAAUUGGUGCUGGCAUGUUAGAGAACCACUGACUUGGAUCCAAGUGAACCAACUUAAUGCCUUGCUGGCUUUGAUUACUCCUUUCACUCCCUCUUGUGCUGUGAAUGUGCUGGUGUGGAAGCCAACUC
rnacentral:lncRNA from 1 species